CCCCUCCCAUGUUUGUUCACAGAUUCAGCAAUUUGUCUUUUACUUUGGAGGUAAUGGCCAGUGGACUCCUAAAUAUUUCACUGUACUAGCAGGUCCUGAGUCUUUGUAGAGUUCAUCUUCCACCCUUUGGAGCAUGUAUCUAACCAAGGCUUCUAGCAUACUGGCCACCUCUUCCUCUUUUGUCCAGUCAUCAUGAUUUUAUUGAUGUGAUGAAUCAGGGUGGUGUUCUGAGGGACUCAUAGGUGAUUCAGACCUUUUCAGACAAAAUUAUGGCAAAGGGUAAGAGUGUUACCAUAGCCCCAAGACAAAAUCGGAGAUCAAUAUUAUUGUCUAUUUCAUCUGAAUUCAAACCUUUUCUGAUCUUCUUUCCUAAUUGGAAUGGAAAAGAAUAUGUUGUCCAAAUCAAUGGCUAAAAACUAGGUACCUGAAGUUUUAUUAAUCUGCUUAGCACAGUAUCACAUCUGGCACAGUAACUAUAAUCAUCAGGUUUACUACUUGAUUAAGUCUGUAAUAGUACACAGUUAUUCUCCAGGACCCAGCUGGUUUCUGCACGGACCACAUUGGUCAUCAUGAGUGAAGUCUUGAGCCACUGAGCCACUACCACCUUGUGCCAAAUACUAUCUGUGCCCUGCCUGCCAACCAGGAUGACAACCCUUCACCUGCCAGGUGGAGAGAGACAGCAGCAGGCUAACUAGUUGUCUGUUAAGAACAUCCAGAGCAGGACCAGAAUCUGGGCCAGGAACUGAGAGACAGAUUGGGACAACGGAACAAAUCUACCAGGGUAUGCUGGCCAACUUAGUCUUCUAUUAUGAUCAAGGAAGGAUGGCGCCUGAGAGGUCAUUACUAUGUGACUGGUCUUCAUAUAUUGCUUCUAUGUUUGAUUCUUCCUCCAGAAAUGUUUCAAUAGCAAACUCAAUGAGUUUACGUAGCCAGAAUCUUAGUCAAUAACCUACUCUGCAGUAUCUUAGGGCUGACUUUGUACAUAUGGAAGUCAGCCAGAUCUCAUGAGUGGAUCAUUAAGCUAGAAUUAUUUUCUUGGCACACGUUACAGUAAGGUAAUAUAUGACCUAGGCCUAAGGCAGGCCAUCAACCUGUCAAGAGUAAUGACCCCCAGGGGUAAGGCCUUGCUGUCUCCACCUCAAGGAUGGGUCUUCAAAGUGGAGACAAUAUAGUCCCUAUGGUUUCUACAUGCUUAAUGAGUCUGUUAUGUGAAUUAUAAAGAUAAUAUCUAUGGGGACUUUGAGCUCCUACAAUAAAAAUGUAUAAAUAUAAUCCAAGAAAUUCUGGUAGACAAACAUUGUAAUAAUGCAUAUCAGUCUUUGUAUCUCCAUUUAGUUUUUUUAAAACUUGGCUUGUGUCCAGAAGUAUGCACAGAUAUACAUAGCAAAUGCUCAGUGCUGAAUGUUUAGCUAAAUCCUGUGCUUCAAAGCAAGGAUGAAUAGAUUUUCAUCAGAGCUCAGGACCUGAACUGUAGGCUUCCCUCACAAUGAGAAGUAAAGCUAAGUAUAGGUGAAUCCUGAGUGGCACAUAUUCUAUGAGAGUUUUAUACAUAAUUUGAAUGAUUGAUAUGCUGCAUCUUUCAUUGAAAUGAUUGUCAACCAAUAUUAUUUCAAGUGUUAUUUCCAUGCUAUUUCUAGUUCUGUAUGUUUUACGUAAUUAUAAAUGGCUUCAUAUUUUCAUGUAACAUUGUAUGAUAUGAUUUGGGUUCUAACAGGUUAUCCUUGACACCAGUAUAGAAUACCCAGAAUUAAUUUAAGGUAUAUUAUCAAACCACUAAAAUUAGGAUGUCCAUGAAUUCUGAAGGAGAAAAUAUCAUUUAGAUUGUGUGUGUGUGUGUGUGUGUGUGCGCGUGUGUGUGUGUCCUCUAAGUUUUAAACAUGAGGUGGUUAUAUAAAGGGGACUUCUAAAUUGGGAGAGGAUGAAAAUGGGCUAAAUAUUUCAAACAAACUUCAGUGUGAAAUCAGUAGUAUAUUCAGUAGAGGUGACAGGGAAAAAAGCUGUGGAGGAGAAAAGAGAACAAGAAAAUCAGGAAGCAGUAAAAAUGAUGACUGAGGUCAGGUGGUAAUGGUAACAUCAAGAAACUUGAAUCUGAUGGAAAAAAACCACGGGUAGCUAUAAAAGGGGCAUUCGAAAUAGGAAAUGAUGUGAGAGGAGAAGAUAAUUUUAGUAUAGUUAAAGGAGGUAGCAGCUAUAGGUGUGAAGAGAACGGAUUAAUUUUAAAUGUGUCCCAGAAGUAAGAGAAAUAUUUUUUUGAGGAGUGGGGGAGGAACAAUGAGAUAAACCUGGUUGAGUGUUUUAUGGUUAUCUCAAGUAAGAGUCCACUUGGAGUAUUAUGUCCAUUUUUGGACACCAUACUUUCAUAGGCAUGUUGAUGAACCAGGUCAUUCAAGACACCAGGGUAGUGAGAAGUGUGUUAAUAGUGCUUCUACCAGAGAGUUAGAGUGACAUGGCAGCUGUCCUCAUAUCUAUCGAUCUGUCAUAAGGAAGAAAGAUCACAUGCCUCUGCAUUGUUUAAAAGAAAGAAACAGACCCAAAGAAAGUCAGGAGGCAGAUUUUGCUCAAUAUAAUGAUCUAACAAUUAGAUGUGCCCUGUAACAGAGUGCGCUAUUGUAAAGUAAUGUUCUCCCAUCUUUCCAAGUAUUCAAGCAGAGAAUAGUCAAUAAUACAACUAACGACUGGAAGGGUUUCUUUUAUUCUAAGGUACUAUCAGAUGGAGGAACAUGUAGUUUGUGGUCAGUGACCUCAGGUUCUCACAUUCACGGUGCUGCAUCCUGGUUUUCAUUUGGGGACUGUUUUCUGGCACUCCCGCCUGUCUGGAGGUGAGAUAUGCUUGUUAUGACAACCCUUCUGUCACAAUAAAUUGGCUGGUGCAUUCAGUGUCAUCUAUGGCUUUUUACUUCUAUUAAUUCAUUAAUUCCGGGCCCCCAAGCGAAAGUUUCCAAAGGCCUUUUUUCUUCUUUGUUAAUUAUAACAUGAUAUCAAUCAGCACCCAAGCAGAAACUAGAAGAGUAUUCAAACUAGGUAAUUUGAGGAGAGUUUAAUAAAGCAACAGCUUACAAAGAUGUGGACAGUGGCUUAAGGAAGCCACUAAAGGAUGGCACAGUCCUCCAGGCUUGUGAUCAGGGGAGUCAUUACCAUCCCCCAGCCUGAAGAUCAAGAGGCUGGAGCUAUUUCCAGACCCUGAAGAGGGUGGUUGUAUGGAGAGGACUAUCUGAAAGAAGAGGCUGUAGCCAACACAAGAAAGCCAGGGAAUAAAUAAUCCAUCCUCACUCUCCUGCUGUUGCCUCUCAAUGGCCAAACCCAACCAUGAGCUGGGCAUGAAGGGAGCUAGCUGACAGCUAUAUGGCUCAGCUUCCUGGGGCCCAGAGCAGAGUGGAGCUGAGAAGAGAGUGAAUCUGGAGGGGUUAAUGGAAGAAACCACAGAAAGCAAAUUCCUCCCUGAGAUACAGUUGGUGCUUAGGCAAUAUUUGUACUGACAGGAAUGUGGCCACAUAUUUUGGAAAAGCUCAGGGACUCAAUCCUCUGCUAGCUGCUUUGAGGCCAUGUCUGCCGAAGUCACUGUCCUCUACAGGGUUUUUUCCUCAUGUUCAGUGUUUAGUCCUUUCCACCUUCACGAAAACGAUGCCUACUUAAUAUACAGAAAGGAGGACAUACAGAAAUUUUUCAUCUUAAUUGGAUAUUACAGUUGCCCCACUUUGGAGCCAAGAAGAGCUGAAUAAAGCUGAGAAACACCUAAACAGAAAGGCAAGUUUACCAUGAAGUAAGAAACGUAAGCUUUGGACCCCUUAAUUGCUUGAGCCUCCGAGCUCUGGAGGGAAGCAUUAGAUAUGGCUCUUAACCUCAGGGGGCUUACAGUCCAAUCAGGAGACCCAAUGCAAAUGGAACAAUGAAUCAAGAUACUAUCUAACAGGACUAGACCAUGCCACCCAGUCAUUGGAACUUGGAUGUAAGUGGCUUCUACAACCAAGUGAGGCAGAGAAAUGGGCAGCAGUGAUGACUCUAUAAAGACUUUUGUCCUUUCAUUCAUUCAAGGUGGUGUACAACCCAAAGAUGAACACAUGACCCUUGUCCUCAAGCAGCUCAAUCUGUGAAAACUAUCAUAUGAGUUAAUGUGGUAACAGAAGCAUGCGCACAAAGUACUCUGGAACAACAGGCAGGGACCAUUUAGACCUGCUGCAGUGUGUGUGUCUGUGUCUGUUUAUCUAUGUAUUAUAUGCAGGCAGAUUGUGAAAAAAGACAAGUUUCACAGAGGAGAUGAUACAUGAUCUUUUCUAAUUCACUGAAGCAUACAGCUAUCAAAGGCCUGAGGACUCUUGAAAGAUGAGCAAAAUUUCAUCAUGCAGAGAAGGGAAGUGUAAAGACAGGAAACAGCAUGUGAAAGGCAUUCUAUUCUAUUUAAAUCUAGGAAUACUGUCUUUAGGAUGUUCUUGGCUGAUUAAAUCAGAUGCAUCAUCAUAUUAUACUAUCAUGAUUUACCAAUACUGGUUAUUGCCUAGAUUUUAUCCAUGGACUCUCCAUUGGCAUCAUUAGUGAUGAGAGCUGGAAGCUUGAGCACACCCUGCCAUAAAGUUGUUUGUAACAGAAGACAUAGUUUGUACUUUGUUUUCUCUGUUUCAGUUUUGGUUUCCACCUCUAAUUUGAUAUAUACCAGUUAUUAAUCUGGUUGAUUUGCUACAAAUGAAAAGUUUAAAAAAUUAAUGACAAUCUAUACAAAACUCACAUAAAACCAUUUGAGUCUCCCACUAGAUGGCACAGGAAGAAUAUGGCAUAUCACCUAAUUCUCAGGCUAGGCUAGAUAGAAAAUGUCUAUUCCUAUGAUCACAUGACUCUGACUACUUUCUCUUAAAAGUAAAUAUAAAUAACAUCUCUGUAAUUUUAUUUUUUCUUUAACAAUAAUUUAUCUUAAAGUAGACAGAAAAAUGCAUGUGGUUUAAAAUUCAUAGUAAAUAGGAGAAUAUUAUAAAAGUUUCUUAAGGCCAGGUGCAGUGGCUCAUGCCUGUAAUCUCAGCACUUUGGGGGUCCGAGGCAGGCGGACCAUGAGGUCAGGAGAUUGAGACCAUCCUGGGCAACAUGGUGAAACCUUGUCUCUACUAAAACUACAAAAAUUAGCUGGGCGUGGUAUGCUCCUGUAGUCCCAGCUACUUGGGAGGCUGAGGGAGGAGAAUCGCUUGAACCCGGGAGGUGGAGGUUGCAGUGAGCCGAGGUCGUGCCACUGCACUCCAGCCUGGCAACAGAGUGAGACUCUGUCUCAAAAAAAAAAGUUUCUCAAACCAUUUUUAACAGAUUAAAACAAUUCUUUUUUUAUCAAACUAUUUUUUUCAUUAAUUCUUAGUAGUCAAUAGUUCUGUUAUUGUGACCCUGGAAGACAAGGCACUGUCAUCUGUCUCCUACAGAUUUUAGAGCAAUUAAAAGUGAAGCAAUCCAUAUUCAUUGAUUAAGAGGGAACUAUCAUGUAACCUGGGUAAGUCAGUCCAUAUCACUUUAAGAACGCUAAACAGUAUUGCUCAAGGUUAAAAAAAAAAAAAAAGGAGAGAGAGAGAGAUCUAACACCAUUCUUUAACGCCUGGCCACUAAACUAAUGACCAUCAAUGACAGAACCUGCUUAAUCCCCAUAUAAUUAUCCAAUAUAUUGAAUCCUAAUUUUUUUUGCUCUUCACCCCAACCUUGCCCAAGUGCCAGUGUAGCUCUACUUUAAGAAUAUCAAUAGAAUGUGAUUUUUCACAAGCUGCCAUAAGUAAAUGGUGGUAAGCCAGAGUUAUAAUCUGAAAAUGCAGCUAGUUUUUUGGGGGGCACAUUAGGACUCAAACUUCCUAAAACUCCUACUCCUGAGUUACCUGGAGAAAAGCUACAGCAGAUGGGCAUCCAGUGCUUGGAAGGGCUGCUUGGUCCUCAAUACAGGGCCCAGUAAAUAUAUCUUUCAAUUAAACUCCAACCUUUGAUGUAACUGGUAUCGUGGUGCCACAAGGAUUCUGUUCAAUAUAUAUUUACUGAAUACCUUCUUUGUGCAACACUCUGUGCUGGACCCUGGGCUAGCUUAAACAACCUGAUUUGAUUCAUGGUGGGCAGCAGAUAAGAAGGCAGAAUUAGUUCACCCUCAUAAUGGUCUUUUACUGCAGCAAUGGCCAAUAAACCACCGAGUUUGCAACACCAGAACCCUAAGGGCACACUUAGCUUGAAUCAGAGUGUCUCCUGGCAAUCAUAACUGAUAUUCAAUCAGAGUUCCCACUGAGUAUAGAUGUACUACUUGACUCCAUUCCAAUAAGUGCAGCAAGCUGGAGCAGAAAAACUAAUCUUUGCUGGGUCUCUCAACGCAUGAUUUUUCCUACAUUGUGCAACCCUUAUAUGCCUUUCGUCAUUCAUUCCUAUCAGAAUCUCCUAGAGUGCUUAUUUUAAUGCAGAUUCCCAGGCCCAAUGUAGAUCACUGUAUCACAUCUCUGUGAUACAGGAGGCCAUAGUGAAAACACAAAUGAACCUGUUGCCAGCCAUCCAUGAGACCACCACGGAUGCCCCACACAUCGCCAGGGUGAUUUGAGGGCCUCAAGAUGUGAGUUCCUUAGCAUGGUUGGGGGCCAGAGACGCCACAGUUUGAGCUUUGGCAUUAAUGUGCUCUUCCUUUCUGUUGCUUAUCUUAGGUAGGAACCAGUUGACAAGUGUCCUCUCCCAGCACAAGGAACUGACUCUGGGCACUGAGUAUAGAUUUUACUUAAAAAAAUGUACAAUUUUACUUACAGAAAGUUACUCAGCUGGGAUGUUUCACUUCAUCAUUAAGGUUUUCUUGUUUUCUUCCUUCCUUCCCUUCCUUCCUUCCUUCCGUCCUUCCUUCCUUCCUUCUUUCCUCCCCUCUCCCUCCCUCCCUCUCUCUUCUUUCUUUUUCUUUCUUUCUUUCUCUUUCCUUCUUCUUUUUCUUUCUUCUUUCCUUUCUUUCUUCCUUCCUCCCUCCCUCCCUGCUUGCUUGCUUUCUUUCUCUCUCUCUCUUUCUUUCUUUCUUUUUUUUGUAAGAAACAGGGGUCUCUCUCCCCAGGCUGGAGUGAAGUGGCACACAAUCAUAGCUCACUGUGGCCUCAAACUCCUGGACUCAAGAGAUCUUCAUGCAGUCUUCCCAGUAACUGGGAUUACAGGCACGUGCUACUGCACCCAGCUUUCACCGUAUAAGUUAAUUGUUAACUUCACAUAAGUUUUAAUACCUGCAAAAAUUAUGUGACUCUUCCAGAUUCCAAUCUUUUCUAAUUUGCUAAAGCAUACAGCCAUCAGAAGUCAACAUGCAGAGAAGCACUAACACGGAGUCUCUGCAUGUCUUGAUAAAUGUUGCUUUGAUGCAGAAUUCAGUUUGGGCAACUUGUGUAGAAGGAUGGUCAGAAAGUAAUUUUCUGUUUGUUGGGGUGUGUGUCUGUGUGUGUGUGUGUAUGUAUGUAUGUAUGUAUGUAUAUGUAUAUGUGUAUGUAAAGAACACAGGUUCUGCAAUUAGUCCAGUGUUGUUGUUCUGGGAAUUUAAAUGUUUUCAUUCUCAAAGCAGUUCUGCUGAGUAGAAAUUUUCACGUUACCCCAUUAUACAGACUGAAAACCUGAAGCUUGAGUAGUUUGCCCAAGGUCACAUAGCAAGGAAGAUCACAAGGCAAAGGAAGAUCUUGAACCCUCUAAAGUUCACGAUGUUUCCAUUAUGUCAUGCUUGUAAAAAACAUGAAAAGAAAUGUUUAUAAUAAAAGAUAUUAAGUGAUAAAACUUCCUUAACAAUUUUCUCCUUUGCAAUAUCAGAAACCUCCAGCAGGCUGUACCCCUGAAUCAGUUUUCUAAUUGAAGCCAUUAAACAAUGAUUU
rnacentral:lncRNA from 1 species